rnacentral:rRNA from 1 species
AUUGAACGCUGGCGGCAUGCCUUACACAUGCAAGUCGAACGCGAAAGCGGGGGCAACCCUGCGAGUAGAGUGGCGAACGGGUGAGUAAUACAUCGGAACGUGUCCAGUAGCGGGGGAUAACCUCUCGAAAGAGAGGCUAAUACCGCAUACGACCUGAGGGUGAAAGCAGGGGACCGCAAGGCCUUGCACUAUUGGAGCGGCCGAUGUCGGAUUAGCUAGUUGGUGAGGUAAAGGCUUACCAAGGCGACGAUCCGUAGCUGGUCUGAGAGGACGACCAGCCACACUGGAACUGAGACACGGUCCAGACUCCUACGGGAGGCAGCAGUGGGGAAUUUUGGACAAUGGGGGCAACCCUGAUCCAGCCAUGCCGCGUGGGUGAAGAAGGCCUUCGGGUUGUAAAGCCCUUUCGGUGGGGACGAAACGGUGCGUGCUAACACCACGCACUACUGACGGUACCCAUAGAAGAAGCACCGGCUAACUACGUGCCAGCAGCCGCGGUAAUACGUAGGGUGCGGGCGUUAAUCGGAAUUACUGGGCGUAAAGCGUGCGCAGGCGGUUUGCUAAGACAGGUGUGAAAUCCCCGGGCUUAACCUGGGAACUGCGCUUGUUACUGGCAGGCUGGAGUGUGGCAGAGGGGGGUGGAAUUCCACGUGUAGCAGUGAAAUGCGUAGAGAUGUGGAGGAACACCGAUGGCGAAGGCAGCCCCCUGGGCUAACACUGACGCUCAUGCACGAAAGCGUGGGGAGCAAACAGGAUUAGAUACCCUGGUAGUCCACGCCCUAAACUAUGUCAACUGGUUGUCGGGGAAGCAAUUCCUUGGUAACGAAGCUAACGCGUGAAGUUGACCGCCUGGGGAGUACGGCCGCAAGGUUA